rnacentral:rRNA from 1 species
GAUGAACGCUGGCGGCGUGCCUAAUACAUGCAAGUCGAGCGAACGGACGAGAAGCUUGCUUCUCUGAUGUUAGCGGCGGACGGGUGAGUAACACGUGGAUAACCUACCUAUAAGACUGGGAUAACUUCGGGAAACCGGAGCUAAUACCGGAUAAUAUUUUGAACCGCAUGGUUCAAUAGUGAAAGACGGUCUUGCUGUCACCUAUAGAUGGAUCCGCGCUGCAUUAGCUAGUUGGUAAGGUAACGGCUUACCAAGGCAACGAUGCAUAGCCGACCGGAGAGGGUGAUCGGCCACACUGGAACUGAGCCAGGGUCCAUACUCCUACGGGAGGCAGCAGUCGGGAAUCUUCCGCAAUGGGCGAAAGCCUGACGGAGCAACGCCGCGUGAGUGAUGAAGGUCUUCGGAUCGGAAAACUCUGUUAUUAGGGAAGAACAGAUUUGUAAGUAACUGUGCACAUCUUGACGGUACCUAAUCAGAAAGCCACGGCUAACUACGUG